rnacentral:misc_RNA from 1 species
CUUCAGUUAAGUCUUCUCCAACCUUUAUUAAAGAUUCAGAUGCAUUAGAUAUGACAAAUAAACAAAUCCAGAUGCCAUGAUAAAGAUGCAAAAGUUUCAGAAAAUAAAUAAACCGAUGCUUGAGAAUAUAUUUGCCUAGGUAGAGGCAUAGAGCAAUGUGUUAGGCAUCACUUACUAUUUCUAUUCUCAACAUGUUAGAGAGAGAGAGAGAGAG